GAAUUUAUAAUUAUUGAAAGUGCAGAAAAGAAGCAACCACACUUUUCUGCCCUAUAUAUACCGCUCUGUGAACUGAGACUUGAACCAUCAGACUUGCCUAGGAGAUCUCUAGCCAGUCAUUUGUAGCUCUAAAAUUCAGCAUUGAGAAGAAAUGGAGAAAGCAUCAAAAAAGCUGAUACUAUUUGCUUUCUUUGUGAUUGCUUCGUUGGUCAUAGGGGGACCAAUAGCAAAGGUGGAAGCCUCAAGAGUCCAACCAGCUGAGACUGAAGCUGAAGCUAUAGGACGUUGCCCUUUCCCAUGCGUUACUAAUGUCCAGUGCCUGACUCGACUUUGUGGCAAGACUAGAUGUGAAUAUAGCAUAUUUCUUCGCCGCAAACGCUGUGUCUAGUUUCUCCAUAAUUAUCACUUGAUUUCAUCUCUUGUAGAACCAAGGGAUUUGUAGGGCGCCUUCAAUAAUAAAGCAUGUGAGCAAUCAUAUGCAGUAGUCAUGUCAUGUAUUAAGCGCCGAUAUGUACUUUUCUUGAUGUUGUUCACUUUACUCUUUUGCUUGUAUUUGUCUUUCACAGUACAGUGUACGUUUGAUUUGGGUCAUCCUGAAAUAAAGUUGAUUGUUAUCUAUAUUGGCAUU